GACGCCGUUUUGAUAUUGACGUAUCUAUAGUUAUAUAAAUAUGAAACAAACUAUGCAACAUAGUUCUGUCUCACUCUUUCUAAGCAGAUAAGUGUAUUUGAAAACAGGGACAACAAUAUUUUUGUGAUUGCGUAAAAUGGUGACAUUUACUUUUGAAAUCCUCCUGUUUGUAGGUGCGUGCCAUAUCUGGCCAUAUAUAUGUCAUGGUAGUUGUGCUGUCAAAUAAGUGCUCUUCGUGAUUUAUUUUUGCUAUUUUAUAGAAUAUCACUCGUGUUUACUUUUAAGACUUUACUAUUUCAAUAGUGAAAUAAUCAACGAAUAUGCCUAUGUGUUGUAUUGUGAAGUGUGGUGCUAGGAAGCACCAAAAUCAAGCUGGAUUGUCUUUACACAGGUACUGGCAGAAAUCUGCUAGUUCACGGGCCCACUGCGGAAGUCAACCGGGUACGUACGUUUGUGUGAUCAUAAUUACUAUGUAUUUAUGUACAUGUUUGAAAAACUAGAGAUCGUACGGCAGUACUAAAUAGUAGAACUAUUAUAUUUGUAUUCGUAAAGCUUUGCGAGGCACGUUCCACUGUUGCUAACAGUAAGGUCCGUGAGAAAUCGUAAAGUUGCGCGAAAGUAUUAAAUAGUAGAACUAUUAUAUUUAUAUUCGUAAAGCUUUGCGAGGCACGUUCCACUGUUGCUAACAGUAAGGUCCGUGAGAAAUCGUAAAGUUGCGCGAAAGUAUUAAAUAGUAGAACUAUCAUAUGUACCUAUAGACCUAUAUGCCUGAGAGGCGAGAACUUGUACAGCUUUACGAGGUGUGAACAGCAAGGUUCGCGAGGAUUCGUAUAUGUUGUGUGCAAGUCUUGUACAGCUUUACGAGGUGCGACCAGCAAGGUUCGCGAGGAUUCGUAUAUGUUGUGUGCAAGUCUUGUACAGCUUUACGAGGUGCGACCAGCAAGGUUCGCGAGGAUUCGUAUAUGUUGUGUGCAAGUAUAAAAUGGCAGGGCCUGGCAUGGACUUGAAAGUCACGUUCCACUGUCGUGGAGUCCUUGAGUAACACUCAAAGGUUUGCUUUAAACGGCGCGGCGGUAACU
rnacentral:lncRNA from 1 species